rnacentral:rRNA from 6 species
AUUCUGGUGCCCUAGGCGUGGAGGAACCACACCAAUCCAUCCCGAACUUGGUGGUUAAACUCUACUGCGGUGACGAUACUGCAGGGGAAGCCCUGCGGAAAAAUAGCUCGACGCCAGGAUGAUAAAAAGCUUAACGCCUC